rnacentral:rRNA from 1 species
UAGGGUGGUUUUAGCAGAGGGGCUCACCUGUUCCCAUUCCGAACACAGAAGUUAAGCCCUCUAGCGCCGAUGGUACUGCGAAAGCGGGAGAGUAGGUCGCCGCCAGUA